GACGGAGGAUGCAAGUGUUAUCCGGAAUCACUGGGCGUAAAGCGUCUGUAGGUGGUUCAAUAAGUCAACUGUUAAAUCUUGAGGCUCAACUUCAAAAUCGCAGUCGAAACUAUUGGACUCGAGUAUAGUAGGGGUAAAGGGAAUUUCCAGUGGAGCGGUGAAAUGCGUAGAGAUUGGAAGAACACCAAUGGCGAAAGCACUCUGCUGGGCCGACACUGACACUGAGAGACGAAAGCUAGGGAGCGAUGGG
rnacentral:rRNA from 1 species